rnacentral:lncRNA from 1 species
GUGACGCACGCCACCGCGGGCGUGCGCGUCCCCGCUUAGCACCGGCCCUCAGUGCGCUUGCGCCACUAGAUGACCCGCCCCCUCGGGCUGUCGGGGGGUCGAGACAGUGGAGUGUUCCUGAUGCCAGCUCACGGAGGGAAUCCAGGGAAUUAGCUGAUGCCAAGAGCCUCUUUUUGGCCAGCACUUACUAAGCACCAGAGACACAGCGAGAAGCAGAAGCAUACGAGCACAUCAGUGUGAUUCUGCUGUGAUGAAGGGCAAGAGAGGGCUCACUUUCCGGCGUGACAUUCAAGCUAGCCCCGAGGCCUGAGCAGGACCCGCCCAGGGGAAGAUCUGGAGGAAAGCCAUCUGAACAUACAACAAGAGCAAAGGCCUGGUGGAGUCAAGACCACCUUGGCUGCCAGGUGGAAUGGUGGAAUAACUCAGGAGUCUGUCAGGUCUCUGAGAUGUCAAACGGGCUUGGCACACACCCAGGAGCUCAAUGCUGCUGGGAGCUGAGCAGCUGGGAGCAAGGAGCCCUCAUCCCCACUGAUGAAGAGGCCAGCCCAGGUUCUAGGCUAAGCAGGCCUGUGAUUAUAAACAGCAGUGUCUCCCUGGACAAGUUUCUUGACCCUGAGAAGAAUGUUAGACCAUCAACUUUGUGAGGGGACAGGCAGUCUCCAACUUUUUUCCUGCUCAGUCCUUAUUGCAUACUCUUGGAGAAGGUCUACUGACUUGUUCUCAGAUGCCCCACGGCUCAGCCAACCACCCAUCCAGCAGAGCAUUCAAAAGGCAUCUGGAAGGAAUGAGGGCGACCGUUCUGCCAGGCCCCUAUUUUUUUUUGAGAGGAGUCUCACUCUGUCGCCCAGGCUGGAGUGCAAUGGCAUGACCUCUGCUCACUGCAAGCUCUGCCUCCCAGGUUCAAGCGAUUCUCCUGUCUCAGCCUCCCAAGUAGCUGGUACUACAGGCGUGCACCACCACACCCAGCAAAUUUUUUCUAUUUUUAGUAGAGAUGGGGUUUCUCCAUGUUGGCCAGGAUGGUCUCAAUCUCUUGACCUCGUGAUCCACCCGCCUCAGCCUCCCAAAGUGCUGGGAUUACAGGCGUGAGCCACCGCACCUGGCUUUUUUUUUUUCUUUUAGAUGGAGUCUUCCUUUUGUCGCCCAAGGUGGAGUGCAAUGGCACGAUCUCAGCUCACUGCAACCUCCACCUCCCAGGUUCAAGCAAUUCUCCUGCAUCAGCCUCCUGUGUAGCUGGGAUUAUAGGCACCUGCCACCAUGCCCAGUUAAUUUUUGUAUUUUCAGUAGAGACGGGGUUUUGCCAUGUUGGCCAGGAUGGUCUCGAACUCCUGACCUAGGGAUCUGCCCGCCUUAGCCUCCCAAAGUUCUGGGAUUACAGGCGUGAGGCACUGCACCUGGCCAUUU